UUGCCGUUGUCGGUAAGAAAUUAGGCCCAGACAGUGAAGGCUAUUAAGGCCGUUCUGGUAACAUGGACUGCCAUUAGGCAUGCGGUAGAAUGACCUGAAAUUGGAACUGCCUCCUAGAACCAACUUCUCUGGUUAUAAAUGACCUACGUGGCAUCGAUAUGAGUCAGAAACAUUCAUUAAGAUGUGUUCCAACCCCCAGCUGCCAUGUGUUGUGGACAUGUUGUCAACACUGCAACGAACGCACACUUGCUCGGCACAGGAGUGAAAAUGGGCUUCCACAAAGUUGGUGCAAACUUCUAAUGCGUUCAACCAUAUUGUGCAAGAUGGCAAGGAAUGGAUUACAUACAACAAAAUGACAUGAUGGCUGUGACUUGUGUGUGGCUACUUACAAAACCUGGUGGAUUUGUUGUUCAGCGGUGUUGUGGGAACCCUCCUACCAUAUCAGGAGCAGAAGUCUGAGGCAGUACAUGACCAGGCACCCGUCCCACUUCAAGAUGGAGGACAGGAGAGAUGGUUUGUCAUGGAGUUGCCUGACUAAAAGACAGGUUGAAACCUGAACUGGGAGAGACCUUGCAUUCAGCAAUAAAAUGAUUUGAAUGUGCUGACAACAAAAUCACACAAAAAUGAUCA